AAAAAUUAUUUAUCAAUUAACGACUCAUGCCUUGUAGACAUGGUAUGAAUAUUUACAAUUUUUAGGACUUCCUAAAUAGGUACACAAGUAGAACGAAUUCUAUGAUUGCAUCAAUUCAUGUCUUAGUAUUAUUAAAAAAUUUGCCGUACGUACGGUUCAAUUGAAAGCCGUUCAACCUCACGUAACAAACACAAAUGAACACAAUUUCAAUACAGAACAUUACAGGCUAGUU